rnacentral:rRNA from 1 species
GACGAACGCUGGCGGCGUGCUUAACACAUGCAAGUCGAACGGAAAGGCCCUGCUUUUGUGGGGUGCUCGAGUGGCGAACGGGUGAGUAACGCGUGAGUAACCUGCCCUUGACUUUGGGAUAACUUCAGGAAACUGGGGCUAAUACCGGAUAGGAGCUCCUGCUGCAUGGUGGGGGUUGGAAAGUUUCGGCGGUUGGGGAUGGACUCGCGGCUUAUCAGCUUGUUGGUGGGGUAGUGGCUUACCAAGGCUUUGACGGGUAGCCGGCCUGAGAGGGUGACCGGCCACAUUGGGACUGAGAUACGGCCCAGACUCCUACGGGAGGCAGCAGUGGGGAAUAUUGCACAAUGGGCGGAAGCCUGAUGCAGCAACGCCGCGUGCGGGAUGACGGCCUUCGGGUUGUAAACCGCUUUCGCCUGUGACGAAGCGUGAGCGACGGUAAUGGGUAAAGAAGCACCGGCUAACUACGUG